rnacentral:misc_RNA from 1 species
GCAAACUUGGUCAUUUAGAGGAAGUAAAAGUCGUAACAAGGUUUCCGUAGGUGAACCUGCGGAAGGAUCAUUACCGAGUCAGGGUGUCUUAACCAUAGCGCCCGAACCUCCAACCCUUUGCUUACUUGACCUUUUGUUGCUUCGGCAGGCCCGUCCUCUCACCGGGACCGCCGGGGGUGAGUCCCUCACUCCUGGCCCGCCUGCCUGCCGACGGCCCCAAAAUUCAAAAUUCAUGUUUAAACGUGUCGUCUGAGUACAACUUUUGUUUAAAUAAACACCAAAAACUUUCAACAACGGAUCUCUUGGUUCUGGCAUCGAUGAAGAACGCAGC